UACGGAGGGGGCUAGCGUUGUUCGGAAUCAUUGGGCGUAAAGGGCGCGUAGGCGGCCUGCCAAGUCGGGUGUGAAAUCCCUCGGCUCAACCGAGGAACUGCACUCGAUACUGGCUGGCUAGAGUCCGGGAGGGGAUGGUGGAAUUCCCAGUGUAGCGGUGAAAUGCGUAGAUAUUGGGAAGAACACCCGUGGCUAAGGCGGCUCUCUAGUACGGUACUGACGCUGAGACGCGAAAGCGUGGGGAGCGAACAGG
rnacentral:rRNA from 1 species